rnacentral:lncRNA from 8 species
CCAGUGUCACCUUGAUUAAAAAAGCAUGGCUAACUAUAUCUUCAAUUCAUCAACCCCUACAGCGAAAGCCAUGAGUGACGCAACAUGCUCAAACACAUGUGCAAUGUAUGCAAGCCAGCACUCACUCCCCCCCAAGACACACAUGCACUUACACCAUACAGCAUAUACUUACACCAUACACCAUAUACUUACACCAUACACCAUAUACUUACACCGUACACCAUAUACUUACACCAUACACCAUAUACUUACACCAUACACCAUACACCAUAUACUUACACCAUACACCAUAUACUUACACCAUACACCUUACACCAUAUACUUACACCAUACACCAUACACCAUCACAUACACCAUACACCAUAUACUUACACCAUACACCAUACACCAUACACUUACACCAUACACCAUAUACUUACACCAUACACCAUACACUUACACCAUACAGCAUAUACUUACACCUUACACCAUAUACUUACACCAUACACCAUAUACUUACACCAUACACCAUAUACUUACACCAUACACCAUAUACUUACACCAUACACCAUGCACAUACACCAUGCAUCAUUCACAUACACCAUGCACAUACACCAUGCAUCAUUCACAUACACCAUGCACCAUAUACUUACACCAUACACCAUACACCAUAUACUUACACCAUACACCAUGCACAUACACCAUAUAUUUACACCAUACACCAUAUACUUACACCAUACACCAUACACCAUAUACUUACACCAUACACCAUGCACAUACACCAUAUAUUUACACCAUACACCAUAUACUUACACCAUACACCAUACACCAUAUACUUACACCAUACACCAUGCACAUACACCAUAUAUUUACACCAUACACCAUAUACUUACACCAUACACCAUAUACUUACACCAUAUACUGACACCAUACACCAGACACCAUACACCAUGCACACGCUCAAGGUCCUUAACGACAUCAUAACUACCAUCGAUAAAAGACAAUACUGUGCAGCUGUCUUCAUUGACCUGGCCAAGGCUUUCGACUCUGUCAAUCACCACAUUCUUAUCAGCAGACUCAACAGCCUUGGUUUCUCAAAUGACUGCCUCGCCUGGUUCACCAACUACUUCGCAGAUAGAGUUCAGUGUGUAAAAUCGGAGGGCCUGUUGUCCGGACCUCUGGCAGUCUCUAUGGGGGUGCCACAGGGNNNNNNNNNNNNNNNNNNNNNNNNNNNNNNNNNNNNNNNNNNNNNNN